rnacentral:rRNA from 1 species
GAUGAACGCUAGCUACAGGCUUAACACAUGCAAGUCGAGGGGCAGCAUGGUCUUAGCUUGCUAAGGCCGAUGGCGACCGGCGCACGGGUGAGUAACACGUAUCCAACCUGCCGUCUACUCUUGGACAGCCUUCUGAAAGGAAGAUUAAUACAAGAUGGCAUCAUGAGUUCACAUGUUCACAUGAUUAAAGGUAUUCCGGUAGACGAUGGGGAUGCGUUCCAUUAGAUAGUAGGCGGGGUAACGGCCCACCUAGUCUUCGAUGGAUAGGGGUUCUGAGAGGAAGGUCCCCCACAUUGGAACUGAGACACGGUCCAAACUCCUACGGGAGGCAGCAGUAAGGAAUAUUAGUCAAUGGGCGAGAGCCUGAACCAGCCAAGUAGCGUGAAGGAUGACUGCCCUAUGGGUUGUAAACUUCUUUUAUAAAGGAAUAAAGUCGGGUAUGUAUACCCGUUUGCAUGUACUUUAUGAAUAAGGAUCGGCUAACUCCGUG